AUUGAAGAGACUGUCAGUCUGAAGGAAAGGAGUGACAAUGAAGAAUAAGAAGCAUUCUAAGGAACUUAAAGUGGCAUUUUAGGGGUCUUCCAGAGGCAGGCACAUUUGAUGAAUCAUAAUCAGGCCUUAUCACUAGUCCUGCAGCCUCAAGAACAAAUAAGUACCUGCACUACGGAUGACUCACAUCAAUAACCUCAUCUGUGCUUUUCCAACUGGACCAGCUCACAGGAAAUUGUAAUGGCCGGGAGACAACAUGGCAGCAAUACAGUUUACACACAGUCAGAAUGGCUUGCAUUUGACCAAUGGUCCCUAAACAAAGUCCAAGUGAUGGCAGAUGGAAAUGAACAUGAGUAAUGUCAACGCCUGUCCACCCACGCUUUACUACACAUCGGACGCCUCCCAGUGAUGACUCUCUGGCUGUCCAUCACCACUGGCGCCGCUGAGAGUUGACGCCACAAACAUGUAUGACAUAACCCCCAAAACCACACAGCAUCAUGUCUUCUAGAAUAUCAUCCUCAUUAAAAUCCACAGAAAUCUU